UUCAGUGACGGGACGGUCUAUUGAUUCUGUCUCGUCGUUAGGCUGAGAGGUAUACUAACGAAGGCGAGAUAUCGUUUCGGUCGUCAUAACUUCGAUUGACGAUUCGAUUGUUGCUCGUCCACAU